UGUAAUGAACCACCGCCGGAAAACUAGGGUGCCCGUCUCCGCCUUCCUCCCUUAUUAUAAAAGCAAUCUCUGUUUGUUUUGUCACCGCUCGUAAACCACUCGCUGUGUUUCUCUCUCUCUCUCUUCCUUAUCAUCAAAGUAGCUCGCCCCCGUGAAAAUGUCGGAGGGAUCAGAAGAAACUAAAACGAAGAUUGAUUCCACCGGAGAGUUAUCGGAUGUGGAUAACGAGAACUGCAGUAGCAGCCAGGGGCGAAGCUAGGAAAUUAAUCUAGAUUACACGGGUGCACAGGCCCCCAUAGUAUUGGGCCUGGCUUCGCCCCUGGUAGCAGCAGCGGAAGUGGAAGUGGCGGCGGCGGUAGCGGUGGAAGUAGUAGCGAGACAAAGAGGACUUGCGUUGAUUGCGGAACGUUCAAAACUCCUCUCUGGUGCGGCGGCCCUGCCGGACCUAAGGUAAGAUUGUCUUUAUGCAGUCAUUGUGCAAUGCUUGUGGGAUCAAGAGCAGGAAGAAGAGGCAAGCGGCUCCCGGGAUCAAACCAGAGAAGAAGAUCAGAAAAAACAACAGCAGUGAUAGUGAUCUAAGCCUCGAUCACCAUCGUAACAACUACAAGAACAAGAUCAGAAAGAUGAUGAUCACGGAAUUAGAAGUGGCAGCAGUAGCAGCAGCAAAAGAAUCAGUAAAUUUUUGGAUCUAGAAUUGGAAAUGCCGGUGAUGAAAAGAUCGGCGGUUGAGAAGAAGAGGCUGUAGAAGAAACUCGGCGAGGAAGAAAGAGCCGCCGUACUUCUCAUGGUGCUCUCUUGUGGUUCCGUUUAUGCGUAAAACAAUGGAGAUCAAAGCUUUCUUUGUUUGGUGUUCGUUAUGGAAUAAUUAAAGUGAGGGGUUUUGAAUUAAUUAUUUAAUUAACUUAGACAAUAGAGAGAGAGAUAUGUAUGCAUGUGUAAUAGCCCCGGGUAAUAGCUAGUGAUGUCGGGGUUUUUUGGCUGGUUCCCACUAAUGUUAUG